rnacentral:rRNA from 1 species
GAUGAACGCUGGCGGCGUGCCUAAUACAUGCAAGUCGAGCGAACAGACGAGGAGCUUGCUCCUCUGACGUUAGCGGCGGACGGGUGAGUAACACGUGGAUAACCUACCUAUAAGACUGGGAUAACUUCGGGAAACCGGAGCUAAUACCGGAUAAUAUAUUGAACCGCAUUGUUCAAUAGUGAAAGACGGUUUUGCUGUCACUUAUAGAUUGAUCCGCGCCGCAUUAGCUAGUUGGUAAGGUAACGGCUUACCAAGGCAACGAUGCGUAGCCGACGUGAGAGGGUGAUCGGCCACACUGGAACUGAGACACGGUCCAGACUACUACGGGAGGCAGCAGUAGGGAAUCUUCCGCAAUGGGCGAAAGCUUGACGGAGCAACGCCGCGUGAGUGAUGAAGGUCUUCGGAUCGUAAAACUCUGUUAUUAGGGAAGAAAAAAUGUGUAAGUAACUAUGCACGUAUUGACGGUAACUAAUCAGAAAGCCACGGCUAACUACGUG